rnacentral:lncRNA from 1 species
GGGCCAUGGAGCUGUGAUGAGCUGUCCUAUCAUCCCUGUAGAACUUGGCUCUCUUGGCCAAGUUCCCUCUACUUCCACCACCAGCUGCCACAGAAAUGGAAGUCAAUCCUGAGCAGCACCCAAAUGCAUUGAGAGGGAGCAGAUUCCAAGGAGCCAUCUUCCUGAUCACUAAAUUAUUAU